rnacentral:lncRNA from 1 species
AAGCAAACAAGUAAAACAAAUAAACAAACAAACAAGUAAAACAAAUAAACAAGUAAACAAGUAAAACAAAUAAACAAACAAAGAAGUAAAACAAAUAAACAAGCAAACAAGUAAAACGAAUAAAUAAACAAAUCAGUUGGUAGACUAAAAUAAGAAUAGACAAGAAUAAAGAAGCGACAAACACGUGAAGUUUAAAAAAAUAGGAACACGAUAGAAUUGUAUUAUAGGCAACAAUAAACAAGGACAUAUGCUAAACAAUAUAUCAUAACACAUCGCAAAAAAUAUAUAUGUAUGAGCAAACAAAAGGAUGACGAAAGAAUUAGGAAGUUUAUAUGGGAAAUCAGCACGUGGUGAAGAAACCAAUACUUACUACAAAUUGAUUGAAACAAAAGAUCAUGUGUCAGAUACAUCUACUACUACUACUACUACUAUUAGUAGUAGUAGUAGUAGUAACAGUUGUAGUCGUAGGAGAAGCAGUCAUACCACCACUAGUACACAACAUUAUGAUAACGAAUAUAUUAAAAAAGUGAAAAGAUUAAAAGAAAAAAAAAUUUUUGGGGAUAAAACUAUAGGUCAAACAGCUAGUUAUAUUUAUUUAAUUAAUCAAAUAUUUGGUUCAGGAAUAGUUGCUUUACCAUAUAUUUUUAAGAUGUCAGGAUGGUUGCCAUGUUUAAUUAUAAACAUACUUAUUUGUAUUUUGACUAUAUUUAAUACUUUAUUAUUUUUACGAUCUAUGACUAUGAUACCAAAUAAUAUACACUUUAAUAAAAGGUAUGAAUAUAUAUCAACAAUUUGUUAUUUUUUAGGUAAAAAAAUAUAUAUUUUUGGCUAUUACAAAUUUGUUAUUAUGCUAGUAUAUUAGGCAGUAAUAUAAUUUCUAUAGUUAUUGUAUCACAUGCAGUUGAUUAUAUAAUAAUAAAUUUAUUCGGUUCUACUGUUGGACUUGUUUUGUAUCCUACUAUAAACGUAACAAUAAUUACUGAUAUAAAUGAAUUUUAUUAUAGUAAAAAUUAUAUACUAUAUAUAACACUUGGAUAUGUGAUUAACACGGUUGUAUCUAUUUAUUUUUCUCAAUCGAAUUUGGAAAACAAUAUGAAAGUACAAUAUUUAUCUUUUAUUUUUUUAAUGACUACUUUAUUUGAAAUGAUAAUCUUAAGUGCUAUGAAAAUAUAUAGAUAUAACUAUGGUAAUAACGUAGAUAUGUCAUAUGUAGGUAUGUCUAUGCCUAAAAUAGUUCAAGUGCCGCCUAUCCAAUACCCGACUAUUUUUGGAAAUUAUAAUUUUAAACAACUUUUAUCUUCGUAUAUUUCUUCUUAUUCAUCUUUAACGGUUAUACCUUGUUGGGUUAAUGAAAUGAAAUCAGAUGUAAAAAUAAUUCGAACUGUUUGGAUAUCUAACUUGUUUUGUUGUUUUCUUUAUUUUAUUUUUGGUUAUGUUUUAUGUACCGCUUAUCCUAAUAUUAAUAAUGAUAACAUAUUAAAUGAUAUUUUACAAUACCCUUUUAUAAAUAUAUAUAUGAAAAUAUCAAUUUAUUUAUUUGACUUAUUAACAAUAGCACCUGGUAUAUAUGUUUAUUGUAUUGCAACCAGAUAUAAUUUAAUUAAUAGUAACUUAUGUUCAGAAAAUUUUGCUUGUUUUUUUGGUACGAUUUUACCUUUUAUUCUUGCUUUUUUUUUUAGUUCACGUGAAAUUUUUGAAACCAUGUUUAAUUGGUCUAGUUUAAUUUUCGCCUAUGCCUGUAAUUUUAUUACACCUGCUAUUAUAUAUCUAAUCGCUUGUAAAAAUAUACCAUAUUCGAAUAAAAAUCCGCUUCAUUAUAUACAUGUACUGUACAACCCAAAAGAAUAUAAAAAAGAACAACCGAUUUAUAAUAUGUUUUAUACAAAUGUUACGAAGAAUAAGGACGAUGAGCAUACUACCGGGCACCUAAACCACCCCCAACAAUAUGACCAACCCCAACAAUAUGACCAACCCCAACAAUAUGACCAACCCCAACAAUAUGACCAACCCCAACAAUAUGAGCAACCUCAACAAUAUGAGCAACCCCAACAAUAUGACCAACCCCAACAACUUGAACAACCUAACAUUUUCAUCACGAAUCCAAACAAAACAGAAUGUAGUGAUAAACGUGAUUAUAUCAUCCCUACAAGUACUCAUCCUGAAGUUAAAAAAAAACAGUUAUGUUAUGAACAAAUAUCAAAAAAAAAUGAACGAAAUUAUUUAGACAAUAAACUACAUGACCAAUUGAUGAAUACAGCAUAUGAUACAGAUGACAAACCAAUGGAUGAGGAGAAGUUAAAAUCGCCAAAUGGAUAUAUUCUCGGUUUGAUUGGAAAACAUAUACCUCCAUCUGUAAAUCUUAGAGAACAAAGUAAUUUAGCCUAUUUGAUCGAAUGCAAUGGUUAUGACAAAGAGACAGAUGGGCGUAAGAACAUUAAUUUAUUGUCACAUCAGGGGAAAUCUUUAUUUAAUGAGACAGCAGUAGUGAAUGAAAAACUAAGGAAUGAAAAACAAGACUAUGUUAAAAUGGAUAAGCUUAAGACAGAUUUCGUAGUAUCUAUAAGUGAAGAAAACAUGCAAGAGAAUUUAGAUACCCCAAAGAAUAAAAUGAGAAAAAAUAAAAAUAUAAAUAUUUCUUUUUUAAAUGAAACAAACGAUUCUAUUCUUGUAAAAAAUGACGAAAAAAGCGACGAAACAAGUACCAAAAAAAAUGCCAAGAAAAAUGCCAAAAAAUAUGACGAAAAAAAUGACGAACGGGUACCCAGAAAAGAAAAGAAAAAAAAAGUGGUAAUAAUAAACGAAGGAGACAAAAAAAUAAUAGGGGAGAAUAGCAAAAAUGAAAAACAAAAAAAUAAACAACGGGAGGAACAACAAAAACAAUCAGAACAAUGGAGCAAAAAUGAUACAUAUAUACCGUCCAAUGAUGAUUUAAAUGAAGAGGAAAAUAUAUUUUUUGUAGUAAAUAACAAUAAUAAGAAGCAGGACCAAGAGAAAGACCAAAAGGAAAAAGCAACUACACAAAACUGUAACAACUACAAUAAAAGUAUCGGUAAUAAAAAAGAAAGUAAUUCCUAUACGUUACGCAAAUAUAAAUCUAUGUAUAUCACAAAGUUUAACAAUAUUAACAAAUAUAACAUGAGAGGAAAAAGCAAAAAUAUGUGCAGUGCGAGGAAGGCAAGAAAACAUAAAACUGUUAUUGGCUUUGAAAAAAAAAAAAAAAAAAAAAAAAACUCUAUACGAAAUAAUCAACAAGAAGAAAAAGACGAAAAAGGAGAUUCUGUUAAUUGGUCCGACACAAGUGAUAUAGACAUUUUAAAUGAUAAAAUAAUAGCUGACUUAUCAAAAGAUAUAUAUAACGAUAUAAAAAUAAUAAAAAAAAAUUACGAAAGGGAUGAAUAUUUAAUCAAAUAUUCUGAUAUUUUUGAUUCAUUUUUAAAUAUAAAAUUGAUGUUGGAGAAUGAUAAAAAUAAUACAGCGUUAUCAUCUUUUGAAAAUUCGUAUAAUGUAAAUUUUGUAAAAAAAAAUAAUAAUAAUGAUAAUGAUAAUAAUAAUAAUAAUAAUAAUAAUAACCAGUUGAAGAACAGUACAAAUUUUUAUGCAACUAGUACUAACAAAGAAGAUGUAAAUGAUGAGUAUAAUAGUAGUAAACAUAUAUAUUCUAUUACGGAUCUAAACAUAUAUAAAAACAAUUAUAAUAUAUAUAACAUUAGUCCUACAAAAGAAUUACCAUAUAGUCAACAUGAUUUGAAAAAUAAGGACAUAGGCUUAAAUCAACUGGAAGAGAAAGAAAAAAACAAAGCCACUGUUAAAUUCGAAGUAGGUAAAAAUCAUUCUAGUGAAGUAAAAGAAAUGUACAAUAACUGGAAUAAAGAUGAGGGUAAACAAGAUAGUAGUUGUGAUAAUAUAGAAAUUACUAGACCAAUUAUGGACAGCCUAUGCCUAUAUAAAACUAAAACUGUCACUACUCCCAGUGCUGCGGACAGUCUAACACGCAAUAGCAUCUUUAGUAAUACUAUUCGGAAUAGGAAAAAGUUGCAAAGUGAUAUACCCAUAGAUUUAUUAGAUGAAGAAUAUAAAGCUAAAAUAAAAAAUAUAAAAAAUAAUUUUAAAUUAUUUAUUAAUGAAAUAAAUAAUAAAAAAAAUUUUACGUGGGCGUUUGACGGAAGUAAAAACAAAACCAAAACACUUGCAGUGACGAAUCAUAAUAACACUAAUGAUAGUAACAAUAAUAAUAGCAACAAUAAUAAUAGUAACAAUAAUAAUAGCAACAAUAAUAAUAGUAACAAUAAUAAUAGCAACAAUAAUAAUAGUAACAAUAAUAGCAACAAUAAUAACAGCAACAGUAAUAAUAGUAAUAAUAUAAACGUAUCAAACGUAAUUGAUGAAUUACUUCCAUGUGACCCUAAAAAAAUGUUUCCUUAUAAUAAAUCCAAAAGUGAAAAUUAUAUUAAAAAUUCUAGUUCGUUUAUCAAACAUGAUGAUUAUAAUAAAAAAAAAAUUAACAACAUAAAGACGCUAUUUUUAAAUAGAUUUUAUUCACAUGGAAGUUAUAAAAUUAAUACAAGUAAAAAUAAAUAUGAAAACAACUAUGGAAAUAUUCAUAAAUGUAUAAAAAUCAAAAGUACAAAUAAUUAUAAAAAAUAUUAUCCAUUGCAUGUAAAGAAAUGUGAAAAUACGCCAUCACAGUAUGAAUUAUCCAGUAGUGAAAGGGAGGCCGUAAAAAGUGAAAGAAGCGACGAUAAAGGGGAAGACGAAUUGGAAGACGAAGGGGAAGGUGAAGAGGAAGAUGAAAACAAAAAAUACUUAAAAAAAAAAAAGUCGAAAAAAAAUCUAUUCUACCAAGAUAAUUCCAUUUCGAGAGAACAAAUAAAAAGUAAAAAAAAUAUAAUGAACAAAAAACUAAUGAAUAUGCACGGUUUUGAUCCCGAAAGUGAUAACACAAUUGGUAGUAAAAAUAAUGAAGGUCUAAACCAGAACACUCAUGAGUAUGAUAAUGAUAAGGUUAUGGUUGAAGGGGGUUUUUACUCAGAUGAUGAUGAAAAUAAUGACGAUAAUGACGACAUUGACGAUAAUGACGAUAAAGACGAUAAUGACGAUAAAGACGAUAAUGACGACAUUGACGAUAAUGACGAUAAAGACGAUAAUGACGACAUUGACGAUAAUGACGAUAAUGACGAUGAUGACGAUAAUGACGAUGAUGAAAAUAACAUCCUAAACUCUAGCAUAUAUACAAAAAAACAAAAAAGGAAUGUGCUUUUUGCGAAAACGGAUUCUAUUAGUUCAAAUAAAAAAAAGAACACUCCAAAAGAUCGAAUUACACGUUUUUUAAAUUCUUACAGUAAAAAAAAUAAACUUUAUAAAGACAUAAAUACGCUAAAUGUUCCAGAUAAUGUAUACAAUGUUAUUCCCAAAAUUAAUAAAAUAGAUGAAAAAAAUAGUUUUGAUGAUGUAAUAAACAACAUAUUCAAUUAUUAUAAAUAUAAUUUCCUGUUAUCCUUCAGUGAACAACAUAAUAGAAAUGACAAUGACAG